UGGUCCCAACCUUAUAAUCAAUUAUUACUUAACAUACACAUGCAAGUCUCCACACUCCUGUGAAAACGCCCUUAAAUCCCUUUUAUGGAUAAGGAGCUGGUAUCAGGCACAACUUUUAGCCCAAAACACCUAGCUACGCCACACCCACACGGGAAUUCAGCAGUGAUUAACAUUGAGCAUAAGCGACAGCUUGACUCAGUUAGAGUAAAAAGAGCCGGCAAAUCUGGUGCCAGCCGCCGCGGUUACACCACGUGGCUCAAAUUAAUUAAUUUCGGCGUAAAGCGUGGUUAAAAUUAAAAAACAUUAUAGUUAAACUAAAACUAAGUUGUAACACACUUGUAUUUAGGAAAACCAAAAACGAAAGUUACUAUAACUCCAACAACUUGAAUCCACGACAGUUAAGACCCAAACUGGGAUUAGAUACCCCACUAUGCUUAACCGUAAACUUUAAACUACACCCGUAUCGCCAGGGAACUACAAGCAAAGCUUCAAACCCAAAGGACUUGACGGUACUCCAUAUCCACCUAGAGGAGCCUGUCCUAUAAUCGAUAAUCCCCGCUUAACCUCACCAUUUUUAGCCUCCCAGUCUGUAUACCUCCGUCGUCAGCUUACCUCGUGAGCGACUCUUAGUAAGCUUAAUGCCCUUACGCCAACACGUCAGGUCAAGGUGCAGCAAAUGAGAUGGGAAGAGAUGGGCUACACUCUCUAUUUUAGAAAAUACGAAAAACUACCUAUGAAACCUAGUCAGAAGGCGAAUUUAGCAGUAAAGGGGGACAAAAGAGCCCCCUUUAAUAUGGCACUGAAGUGUGUACAUACCGCCCGUCACCCUCCUCAAAGCCACAAAAUAGUUCCUAACACUUCUAAGCACGCCAGAAGAGGCAAGUCGUAACAUGGUAAGUAUACCGGAAGGUGUGCUUGGAAA
rnacentral:ncRNA from 1 species